UACGUAGGGUCCGAGCGUUGUCCGGAAUUAUUGGGCGUAAAGAGCUCGUAGGCGGUUCGUCGCGUCUGCCGUGAAAUCCACAGGCUCAACCUGAGGCGUGCGGUGGGUACGGGCGGGCUAGAGUGCGGUAGGGGAGAAUGGAACUCCUGGUGUAGCGGUGGAAUGCGCAGAUAUCAGGAAGAACACCGAUGGCGAAGGCAGUUCUCUGGGCCGUAACUGACGCUGAGGAGCGAAAGCGUGGGGAGCGAACAGG
rnacentral:rRNA from 1 species